AAUAUUAUUACCUGAACCAGCUCUGCGUGCGUAUUUCUACGUCUCGUCUUUUCGUCUUCAUUUUUAAUUAAAGGGUGGCCUUUUUGUUAGAUGCAUUUUAACGUAGUCAGGCUCACCGCGAAUCACGUGUUCGUUCUUUCUGUAUUUUGACUUUUGUAUGAGAUAGUGGUGUUUUUGAAUUAAAUAUUUUUUUGCCAUUUUUACUUGCGUAGAUAGAGGUACAAACGUAAUGAACUAAUGAUCAUUUAAUAUUAACAACAUUUUUCAAGUGAAAUAUCGUGAACGAUUUAAAGCAUUUCUGAGUGUUGAAUAAUUGGGGACUGCAAAGAUACUCUUAUAUGUAGGUAGGUAAUCUGAUAGUGACACUGACACGGUAAUGGCCGACGAAAUGGAUAUUAUGGGACUGUUACGUGGUUUGCAACGAGAAAAUACGAAGAAUAAGUUGUCGCAGGAUGACAUUUCACAAAUUAUCGGCCAGUGGUAUUUAAAGAUAAUAGGAUUCAUCCAGGUAGAUGACGAUAAAUUUGAAUUGAGAGCCUUUGGCAUGAAUACUCCGUUCGAAUUUACAUCGAGUUUUGAUGACCAAUCCAUUUCGUUAUACCGUCACCCGUAUUCGGAUAACAACAAUGCGUAUCAUGCCAAUUCGGUGGGAUAUGCUUUCCAAACAUUUCCAUCUUUAAAUCUAAAGCAAUCCUGUGUAGAGAAAGAUGCGAAAAAAUUACGUGCUGAAAUGAAGAGGUUGCACUCCAACUUAAAAGAAUUGGGAGAAUAU